AGACGUAGGGCACAAGCGUUGUCCGGAAUUACUGGGCGUAAAGGGUCCGUAGGCGGUCGGCUAAGUCUUCUGUCAAAGCCCCCGGCUCAACCGGGGAAAGGCAGAGGAUACUGGCUGACUCGAGGCAGCUGGAGGCCACUGGAACUACCCAUGUAGGGGUGAAAUCCGUGGAUAUGGGUAGGAACACCGAAGGCGAAGGCGGGUGGCCAUGGCUGUCCUGACGCUGAGGGACGAAAGCUAGGGGAGCAAACCGGAUUAGAAACCCUAGUAGUCCC
rnacentral:rRNA from 1 species